rnacentral:rRNA from 1 species
UACAGAGGUCCCAAGCGUUGUUCGGAAUUACUGGGCGUAAAGGGCGCGUAGGUGGCCAACUAAGUCAGACGUGAAAUCCCUCGGCUUAACCGGGGAACUGCGUCUGAUACUGGAUGGCUUGAGUUUGGGAGAGGGACGCGGAAUUCCAGGUGUAGCGGUGAAAUGCGUAGAUAUCUGGAGGAACACCGGUGGCGAAGGCGGCGUCCUGGACCAAUACUGACACUGAAACGCGAAAGCCAGGGGAGCAAACGGG